rnacentral:lncRNA from 1 species
GCGAAAGCCACCUCCUCGGGCCUGCGUCGCCUCCAACUUACUCCAAGUUUUCGGACGCUGGCAAAAGCCCUGCAGCCGAGAUGCAUCCUUUACUUCAAAAAAGAAAAGAAAAGCAAGCCCUCAGCUGGCUGCCCUGCUGGGGCCAGGUGACGUGCGAGAUUCCACAGCCCGCGGGCCUCGCAGCGGGGAUGUGAAGGGCGGUCUGAGGUUCGCUGGUCCUGCUUGGGUUUUGUUUGCAAGGGCUUCUCAGAGAGAUGCUCCGAUUUUUUUAAAUAGUGUUUCCCCUCCUAUCCUAAGCCCGACUCUGAAUGGAUUGGAUUGCGAGUUUGCACGUGAGAAGACCGUUUGGCUUGACUUGGACCCCUGCCUUCCCCCACGCCCUCCACACACCCAGUCCAGGGGUCCCCUUAUCACCCUUUGCUUGCAACUCCAAAAGAAGUUGCCCACCUCCUCCCGCUCGGGCUGAAACAUCGAUUCCGUUUCAAAACGAGAAUGGAUUUCUUUUUUUAUUUUCUCCACAUG